CCUACGGGGGGCAGCAGUGAGGAAUAUUGGUCAAUGGACGCAAGUCUGAACCAGCCAUGCCGCGUGCAGGAAGACGGCUCUAUGAGUUGUAAACUGCUUUUGUACGAGGGUAAACGCAGAUACGCGUAUCUGUCUGCAAGUAUCGUACGAAUACGGAUCGGCUAACUCCGUGCCAGCAGCCGCGGUAAUACGGAGGAUUCAAGCGUUAUCCGGAUUUAUUGGGUUUAAAGGGUGCGUAGGCGGUCGGAUAAGUUAGAGGUGAAAUCCCGGGGCUCAACUUCGGAAUUGCCUCUGAUACUGUUCGGCUAGAGAGUAGUUGCGGUAGGCGGAAUGUAUGGUGUAGCGGUGAAAUGCUUAGAGAUCAUACAGAACACCGAUUGCGAAGGCAGCUUACCAAGCUACUUCUGACGUUGAGGCACGAAAGCGUGGGGAGCAAACAGGAUUAGAUACCCCGGUAGUC
rnacentral:rRNA from 1 species